AACCUAGCACACCUGCGGUGUGUACCUGCGGAAGGAUCAUUAACAAAUAAUCCAUUGGAUUUUAAAAAAAUCCAUCCACCUCUUGUGAAAUGUUACUGUAAUUCCCUGUAGCGCUUGAGACGAUAUCAGAAAAGUGAUUUUCUUUUAUCGACCCUCCGAGACAGGGGCCUAAAAAAUAUUAUAUACCUUAUAAUUGUGGUUGUCUCAAAAUUUAAUUGUGCUGAAAAGCUCAAAAAAAAU
rnacentral:misc_RNA from 1 species